AUUGAACGCUGGCGGCAGGCCUAACACAUGCAAGUCGAACGGCUGCACAGAACUUGCUCGCUGAUUCGGCUGGCGACUGGUGGGUGGUUCCUAGGAAUCUCCCUGUCUACUGUUUCUAAGGUCAGAACGCGGGCGCUCUUACCCCAUUAGUGCUGAGGACGAACGGGGGGAAUCUUCGGACCUCCCGCUCUCGGAUGAUCCUAGGUCGGAUUAGCUAGUUGGCGGGGUAAAGGCCUACCAAGGCGACGAUCCGUAGCUGGUCUGAGAGGAUGAUCAGUCACACUGGAACUGAGACACGGUCCAGACUCCUACGGGAGGCAGCAGUGGGGAAUAUUGGACAAUGGGCGAAAGCCUGAUCCAGCCAUGCCGCGUGGGUGAAGAAGGUCUUCGGAUUGUAAAGCACUUUAAGUGGGGAGGAAGGGCAGUAAGUUAAUACCUCGCUGUUUUGACGGUACCAAAAGAAUAAGCACCGGCUAACUUCGUG
rnacentral:rRNA from 1 species